ACGGGGCCCGCACAAGCAGUGGAGUAUGUGGUUUAAUUCGACGCAACGCGAAGAACCUUACCAGGACUUGACAUCCUCUGACGAUCCAGGAGACUGGAUUUCCCUUCGGGGCAGAGAGACAGGUGGUGCAUGGUUGUCGUCAGCUCGUGUCGUGAGAUGUUGGGUUAAGUCCCGCAACGAGCGCAACCCUUAUUGCCAGUUACCAUCAUUAAGUUGGGGACUCUGGCGAGACUGCCGUGGAUAACACGGAGGAAGGUGGGGAUGACGUCAAAUCAUCAUGCCCCUUAUGUCCUGGGCUACACACGUACUACAAUGGCAACAACAAAAAGCAGCAAAACCGCGAGGUCAAGCGAAUCUCCAAAUGUUGUCUCAGUUCGGAUUGCAGGCUGCAACUCGCCUGCAUGAAGUCGGAAUUGCUAGUAAUGGCAGGUCAGCAUACUGCCGUGAAUACGUUCCCGGGCCUU
rnacentral:rRNA from 1 species